rnacentral:rRNA from 1 species
GACGAGCCACACGAACGUUAUUCGGAAUUACUGGGCUUAAAGCGUGCGUAGGCUGCGCGGCAAGUUGGGUGUGAAAUCCCUCGGCUCAACCGAGGAACUGCGCCCAAAACUACCGUGCUCGAGGAAGAUAGAGGUAAGCGGAACUUACGGUGGAGCGGUGAAAUGCGUUGAUAUCGUAAGGAACACCUGUGGCGAAAGCGGCUUACUGGGUCUUUUCUGACGCUGAUGCACGAAAGCUAGGGGAGCAAACGGG